UGGUUCACAUUGAAACAGGGGAGAUGAGAUCCUAUAGGCAACACCCCGAAACUUUGUGGAGAAUUACUACUCAUCACCCCCAUCCACUGAGAACCCUGACGUCAUGAGGCUGCUCAGGUAGAAUCCAGUACUGGCAGUCUUCCUGGGUGCAGGCUGUGAGGGGCUGAUGGUGCUACUAGCAGAAUGGUCUUGAGGUGGCUGGAAGCCUUUGGGAGCACCAAAACAGCCCCAGCACCAAAGAGACACUGCCUCCCGCCCAUCUUAAGAGAAAUUCACAUGGCAAGCCCAGUUUCCGCUCCCCCAGGAGAGCCCACCCAGAUCUUCCCCUUCCUUCUCAACCACCCAGGCAAGUGCCAAGUUUCGGGGGGAGGGAGGGAAUCCCCUUCUUGCUGAUGUUGGUGAUGACUCAGGCCCAGGACCAGGUUCUGAGGAACACCAUUCGACUUACAUGGGGGAAUGAAUGCACGGUACCUGCUGUGAUCAUCCCAUGCCUCUUCCUAAUAGGCCUGUCUUCUCAUUUCUCCUCCCACUGUCUGCUAGAUGAUAAGCACAACGAUCUCCAAGUGGCUUUCCUGAAUAUCUACCACAACCAGACCCUCAAAACCCUCAUGGCCUGGAGUGGGUGGUGCAAUUCUGCCCCAGGACUCACUAUGUGCUUAAGGUGAAUGGAAAUGUCUUCCUAAACCCUGGUUUCCUGGUGUAGCAGAUACUGACGCCUGAGCAGCCAGCCCUGCCAGACUUCAUCACUGGCUCUAUCACAGAAACAGACUCCCCAUUCUAAGGCAGAUCCAUCCUCAGUAUGUGCCCCUGGACAUGCUCUCCAGAGCCAGGUACCCACCUUACUGCUGCAACCCUGGCUAUGUGCUGUCGGGACAACUGACCCUCAAAGUGCUUUCCAUCGCCGGGAAAAUGCCAGCUGUCCACCUGGAGGAAGUCUGUGGGGCUGUGCCUGCGCCAGCGAGAGAUGGAGCCCACCCCAGUCCCCUCAACACCUUUCUGGUCUUUGGCCGAUCAUACAACCCCUGUGACUUCCACAGUUCAUCCUUCAUCCCUUGUCCAUCCCUCUGAGUAUCAGGAGCUUCUUCAAGUCUGGCCCAACUUUCAGAAAAGCACCACCACUCUGGUGGCAGAUUGAACGAAACCCUUCUCUGCUGGACUCUUUUAACUUACUUCCUCCUCCUGCCUUCCAGCAGGCAUCUCUUAUACUGCAAGGUAGAAUCACCCCAGGCCAUCCCCCACCUCCUUUCUCAUAAAUUUGGUUAUCUCCAAUAAAAGUGCUAUCAGAAAUGCCUUCAUCCAGAGAGAUAAAGGGAAAAG
rnacentral:lncRNA from 1 species